rnacentral:rRNA from 1 species
GUGGGGAAUCUUCCGCAAUGGACGAAAGUCUGACGGAGCAACGCCGCGUGAGUGAAGAAGGUUUUUGGAUCGUAAAGCUCUUUCGUUAGGGACGAACGUGCUCUUUGUGAAUAAUGAGGAGUAAUGACGGUACCUAAAUAAGAAGCCACGGCUAACUACGUGCCAGCAGCCGCGGUAAUACGUAGGUGGCAAGCGUUGUCCGGAAUUAUUGGGCGUAAAGCGCGCGCAGGCGGGAUAUCAAGUCUGUCUUAAAAGUGCGAGGCUCAACCUCGUGAGGGGACAGAAACUGGUAUUCUUGAGUGUCGGAGAGGAAAGUGGAAUUCCAAGUGUAGCGGUGAAAUGCGUAGAGAUUUGGAAGAACACCAGUGGCGAAGGCGACUUUCUGGACGAUGUCUGACGCUGAGGCGCGAAAGCUAGGGGAGCGAACGGGAUUAGAUACCCGAGUAGUCC